UGCAAGUCGAGCGGCAGCGACAACAUUGACCCUUCGGGUGAUUUGUUGGGCGGCGAGCGGCGGACGGGUGAGUAAUGGCUGGGAACCUGCCCUGACGUGGGGGAUAACAGUUGGAAACGACUGCUAAUACCGCAUGAUGUCUUCGGACCAAAGAGGAGGACCUUCGGGCUUCUCGCGUCGGGAUGGGCCCAGUUGGGAUUAGCUAGUUGGUGAGGUAAUGGCUCACCAAGGCGACGAUCCCUAGCUGGUUUGAGAGGAUGAUCAGCCACACUGGAACUGAGACACGGUCCAGACUCCUACGGGAGGCAGCAGUGGGGAAUAUUGCACAAUGGGCGCAAGCCUGAUGCAGCCAUGCCGCGUGUGUGAAGAAGGCCUUCGGGUUGUAAAGCACUUUCAGCAGUGAGGAAGGCGUAGUGGUUAAUACCCGUUGCGCUUGACGUUAGCUGCAGAAGAAGCACCGGCUAACUCCGUGCCAGCAGCCGCGGUAAUACGGAGGGUGCGAGCGUUAAUCGGAAUUACUGGGCGUAAAGCGCAUGCAGGCGGUUUGUUAAGCAAGAUGUGAAAGCCCCGGGCUCAACCUGGGAACCGCAUUUUGAACUGGCAGGCUAGAGUCUUGUAGAGGGGGGUAGAAUUUCAGGUGUAGCGGG
rnacentral:rRNA from 1 species